rnacentral:lncRNA from 1 species
UCACGCACGCACACACACACACGGUGCGAAAACGCGCUCCCAGCGAAAGCAAAACAUUGUGCACGGACAUGCAUGCAGACGCGCCGUCGGUCACUGCGAACCCGUGCGAUCGCUGCAUUGAGACUUCAUUCUGUUAUGUUCCAUUUGCUUAUACAGACAACACACUAUAAGAACAUACUUCACAUAGUAUGCUCUCAGCGAUUGCCUACCUUUUACGCAAGAAGCUGGUUCGGGGGACUCCAUCGCGGCGACCGCGCGCAAUCGGCGUUCACUGUACAUAUUCGGUAAAUAGAUAGCGUCUGUAAACUAUUCUGCGCUUUCUGUUUGCCCAAGAUUAUUAUUUUGACAAUAAGAAACUUCCCUCGU